UGCAAGUCAAGGGGGCCAGCAAUGGCAACCGGCAGACGAGGUAGUAAUAAAGAAGUACGCACCCUGGAGUCGGGCAUAGCUAUCCGAAAGGAUAGGUAAUUCCCGAUAGUCCCGUAAGGGUAAAGUUUUUCGCUCUGGGAGCGGCUUCUUCGGUAUCAGCUAGUUGGUAAGGUAACGGCUUACCAAGGCUAUGACGCCUAGGGGACCUGAGAGGGUGACCCCCACCGAUGGAACUGAGACACGGUCCAU
rnacentral:rRNA from 1 species